rnacentral:rRNA from 1 species
UACAGAGGUCCCAAGCGUUGUUCGGAUUCACUGGGCGUAAAGGGUGCGUAGGUGGCGCCAUAAGUCGGGUGUGAAAUCUCGGGGCUUAACUCCGAAACUGCAUUCGAUACUGUGGUGCUUGAGGACUGGAGAGGAGACUGGAAUUCAUGGUGUAGCAGUGAAAUGCGUAGAGAUCAUGAGGAAGACCAGUGGCGAAGGCGGGUCUCUGGACAGUUCCUGACACUGAGGCACGAAGGCCAGGGGAGCAAACGGG